rnacentral:lncRNA from 1 species
CGCCUUCUGACCCUCCAUACCUAGCAUACGUUCUUCCAGCAACUUGUACUUGCCAUCUCUUGGAGAGUACUGUUCAUUCUCAUAAUCUUCAUCGUCGUCCUCAUGGUUAAAGAGAUCAACAUUCUCCUCUUCUGAAUCAUUCUCUGUCUCCUCUUCUUGAUCCUUCGGAAUUCUAAUCUUGACUCCUGUGGCCUGUCCUUUAAGCCUUCUUCCCGGGUUAAU